GGACUAUCAUCUCGUGUAUACAAAGAGAUUGCACAUGUGAUAACUUCUCAGAAAGUUUAACUACUUGUCCAAGAGAACGCAUACGUAGACCUCGGGUAUGCAUGAAAUCAGUUAAGGUUCGACCAUCUACUGGUGAGAGUUCUAAAGAGCCAAAAUCAGCCACCAGCUUUGGCAGGGCAACUUCAUUAUAGUACUUCUGUGACAGAUCAAUCAGCUCUUCCAAAGACUUAAGGUGAAGUCCAGUCUCUGACUCCUUCAACCUUGUAAAGCCAGCAUCAGACAACAAUGCCUUGAGGACGACCUGAUUUUGAUCUGUAUCUGUCUCAAACUGAGACUCCCCAG
rnacentral:misc_RNA from 1 species